rnacentral:rRNA from 1 species
CACGUAGGGGGCAAGCGUUGUCCGGAUUUAUUGGGCGUAAAGAGCUCGUAGGUGGUUCGGUAAGUCGGGUGUUAAACCCCCAGGCUCAACCUGGGGACGCCACUCGAUACUGCUGUGACUAGAGUCCGGUAGGGGAGCGUGGAAUUCCUGGUGUAGCGGUGAAAUGCGCAGAUAUCAGGAGGAAUACCGAUGGCGAAGGCAGGUCUCUGGGCUGACACUGACGCUCAUGCACGAAAGCGUGGGGAGCAAACAGG